CCUACGGGAGGCAGCAGUGGGGAAUAUUGGACAAUGGGCGAAAGCCUGAUCCAGCCAUGCGGCGUGUGUGAAGAAGGCCUUCGGGUUGUAAAGCACUUUCAGUGGGGAAGAAAGCCUUGGGGCUAAUACCCUCGAGGAAGGACAUCACCCACAGAAGAAGCACCGGCUAACUCCGUGCCAGCAGCCGCGGUAAUACGGAGGGUGCGAGCGUUAAUCGGAAUUACUGGGCGUAAAGCGCGCGUAGGCGGUCUGAUAAGCCGGUUGUGAAAGCCCCGGGCUCAACCUGGGAACGGCAUCCGGAACUGUCAGGCUAGAGUGCAGGAGAGGAAGGUAGAAUUCCCGGUGUAGCGGUGAAAUGCGUAGAGAUCGGGAGGAAUACCAGUGGCGAAGGCGGCCUUCUGGACUGACACUGACGCUGAGGUGCGAAAGCGUGGGUAGCAAACAGGAUUAGAUACCCUAGUAGUC
rnacentral:rRNA from 1 species